rnacentral:rRNA from 1 species
GACGAACGCUGGCGGCGUGCCUAAUACAUGCAAGUUGAGCGCUGAAGGUUGGUACUUGUCCCAACUGGAUGAGCAGCGAACGGGUGAGUAACGCGUGGGGAAUCUGCCUUUGAGCGGGGGACAACAUUUGGAAACGAAUGCUAAUACCGCAUAAAAACUUUAAACACAAGUUUUAAGUUUGAAAGAUGCAAUUGCAUCACUCAAAGAUGAUCCCGCGUUGUAUUAGCUAGUUGGUGAGGUAAAGGCUCACCAAGGCGAUGAUACAUAGCCGACCUGAGAGGGUGAUCGGCCACAUUGGGACUGAGACACGGCCCAAACGCCUACGGGAGGCAGCAGUAGGGAAUCUUCGGCAAUGGACGAAAGUCUGACCGAGCAACGCCGCGUGAGUGAAGAAGGGUUUCGGAUCGUAAAACUCUGUUGGUAGAGAAGAACGUUGGUGAGAGUGGAAAGCUCAUCAAGUGACGGUAACUACCCAGAAAGGGACGGCUAACUACGUG